UCUUGCUGUUGCAGGAGGAUGGAAAUGCAUACGCGUCCAGCCGUUGUUGUGUGGCAAGGACACGGGCGUGCAUUUUGUCGGUUGCCGGUUUUGUUUUACUUGGCCAGAAUAAUUGGUGUGUUGGACGCGUUAAGUAACGGUUUCAGCGGCUAGAUCAAGAAGUUGAAUCCAAGGAAGGAACAUGAAACUUCCUUUUCACUGAAUAUAUGGACAGAACCCUUCCAAAUGCUCAAUAGCAUGAGGUGGCUGAAAUAUUAAAGAUGCGCUGAUCGGAAGUGGCAGCCAAAUAGAAUUCUUCCAGGCGCCCUUUAAUCGUAUAAGUUACACAAAAAGUGGACAAGGUGCAGGAAGAACGCCCCCGCUCUAUUAUUUAAAUUUCAAGAGCCGACUUUGCGUGCUGAAGCGAAGUUCACUUCAAAUCUAAUAAAUGACAGUCCAUCGGCUUUGAGCUCUCCAAAAACAUUGUUGGAGUCGGAAAUUAUAUCUGGGGAUAUACUAUCAACGCCAUUCCCAUCAUAUGGUAAUUUAGGAAGACGUUGAGGGCAAAAAGAUGACGAUGAGUAUACUCAAGUAGUUGAACGUGCGCUAGAGAUCCUCACAUCAGCAACUAAAACUGAUGGUUGGAAUGAGUUAGGCAAGAAUUUCCAUAAUUAGAAAAGGAGUCCAAGCGGCACAUAUGUGAAUUGAUAUUCGACUACUAAAAGAAAUGUAUGUAUUAAUAAAACCUAAUUUCGCUAUUUUGUUUUAUAGCUUAACAUCAUGCCGUUGAAAUUCGCAAAACUUUUUUUCUAUGCAAAUCAAAUGAAAUGUACCUUAUCUUUUUAUAUUUUUUUCAAUGUGAGAAAGAAAAUCUUUAAAAUACUAUAUUCAUUGGUAGAUUAAAUAUGUAUGUAUUUACAAAUAAUAAUAUAUGUACAUAUCUAUAUAUAUAAAAGAAAGUUGUUGUUAGUUACAUCAUUUAUAACUCAAGAACGGCUGAACGGAUUUGGCUGAAAAUUGGUGGAAACGUAGCUUAGAACCAGGGUAAGGACAUAGGAUACUUUUUAUUCCUCUAAGUUAAAAUUUAAUACAACUCAUAAAAUUAUAUUUCAAAUCAUAAGCAUUGUUUAAAGAUUCAUUUUUGGAAAAAUCAUUUCAAUAUUUUAUUACUUACUGAAAUUUAUCAGAGAAAAAAGGUAGAUAAAAUUUUGAAAUUGACCGGUUGAUGUGUUUGUUUCGAAUCUCUAUUAACCUAUUCGUAUUAAACCGCUAUAGCCCUUAAGACAGCCAUGCCGCGACAAACAUAGUCAAAUCUUUCAAGACGAAGUCAUAAUGCAACAAGGAUUAGAAACAUUGGACACAGGACAGAAGAAGGAGCAGGAAUUGCGCGAGAAGAGCGCCGCGUUGGUAUGGGUCGACUUCGUGCUUUUCAAUCCCACCAGCAAAGUGAUGCAGCCGGUGAGACAGCUCGGUUGACAAUGCGAAAAUGUCGUGCAAACCGCAGAGCUCAAUACAUCAAGUACAGAUUUGAAUCGAGCAGCGUUUCGAUACGAUUGCAGCACUGGAUACGGCGUGCAUACUAGCGUUCGCAUUGGGCCGACAGACGUUGUUUGCGAGUAUUGUAGCGAAUUGAAGUUUUCUGGGGAAAAUAAAAUUGCCAUCAUUAAAUCCACCACCAGAGCCAUUUAAUCCGACAUUUAAGGUUUUUGUUCAUUUAUUAUUCUUAUUCCAAAAAAGGGAUUAUGAAUAAGUAACUAUAUAUAUUCCUAUUUGUUACAUAAGCUACUUCUAAAAAAGGAGAGUUUGCUUUUGAUUUUGUAGAUACAGUGAUAGAUUCAUCAUUGAAUUGGAUCAUUACAACCUCUAGAUGAUGCAAAGCAUAAAUUUUUACAAAUGUACUUCAUGGGCAGCAUGGAGGAACAACUUGAUCGACGUCAAGAGAUAAAUGCAACAGUGAAAAAAGCAAUUCUUCAAGAUCUGCAGCAGCUACUUCAUGAACAUUAUGCGUUGGUCAGGCUGUCUAAAAGCGCAUUUGAACGCAUGCCAAACGAUGAUUACAAAGUCAUCAUCAAAGCAGAUGAACGACCAUCUGGAACACACGAACGCACAUUUAACGCUCCAACAAUAGAUGAAGUUGCAAUCCUGAUUGUUGAUGAAAACUUGGAAACACGCGAUUAUAGUACUUACACGUCGCGAUACUGGGCAACUGAAACAAAAAUCUGAAACUCAUCGGUGGUAUGACACAUUGCAAUACCCUUUGAGAUACGCGUCGUUUUUUGAGGCUCUAAACGUUAAUUAUUUGAUUUUUCUAUGUCUGAAUAAAAGACAUAAAAGCUGAAUUGAAUAAGGCUGUGAUGACCACCACGGGAAAGUACUAUGAUGACUGGAAAAUUCUUUGGCAUAAGUGUAUUGCAGCGGCAGGGGACUUUGAAGGAGAU